rnacentral:rRNA from 1 species
GAACGCACCUUGCGCCCCUUGGUAUUCCGAGGGGCAUGCCUGUUUGAGUGUCAUU